UAGGGGGUGUAGCAAUACAUCACCGGCGGACGGGUGCGUAACACGUGGGAAUAUACCUUUUGGUUCGGAACAACGCAGGGAAACUUGAGCUAAUACCGAAUGUGCCCUUCGGGGGAAAGAUUUAUCGCCAUUGGAGCGGCCCGCGUCUGAUUAGCUAGUUGGUGGGGUAAAGGCCUACCAAGGCUACGAUCAGUAGCUGGUCUGAGAGGAUGAUCAGCCACACUGGGACUGAGACACGGCCCAGACUCCUACGGGAGGCAGCAGUAGGGAAUCUUGCGCAAUGGGCGAAAGCCUGACGCAGCCAUGCCGCGUGAAUGAUGAAGGUCUUAGGAUUGUAAAAUUCUUUCAGCGGGGACGAUAAUGACGGUACCCGCAGAAGAAGCCCCGGCUAACUUCGUG
rnacentral:rRNA from 1 species